rnacentral:pre_miRNA from 14 species
ACUCUGCAGUUGAAAAGUGCUCUCAGUGCAGGUAGUAAACCCAGCACUACUGCAGUCUGAGCACUUAAAGCACUGCCGGUC